rnacentral:rRNA from 1 species
CCUACGGGGGGCAGCAGUGGGGCAUAUUGCACAAUGGGCGCAAGCCUGAUGCAGCCAUGCCGCGUGUGUGAAGAAGGCCUUCGGGUUGUAAAGCACUUUCAGCGGGGAGGAAGGCGGUGAGGUUAAUAACCUCAUCGAUUGACGUUACCCGCAGAAGAAGCACCGGCUAACUCCGUGCCAGCAGCCGCGGUAAUACGGAGGGUGCAAGCGUUAAUCGGAAUUACUGGGCGUAAAGCGCACGCGGGCGGUCUGUCAAGUCGGAUGUGAAAUCCCCGGGCUCAACCUGGGAACUGCAUUCGAAACUGGCAGGCUAGAGUCUUGUAGAGGGGGGUAGAAUUCCAGGUGUAGCGGUGAAAUGCGUAGAGAUCUGGAGGAAUACCGGUGGCGAAGGCGGCCCCCUGGACAAAGACUGACGCUCAGGUGCGAAAGCGUGGGGAGCAAACAGGAUUAGAUACCCGGGUAGUC